GACGAACGCUGGCGGCACGCUUAACACAUGCAAGUCGAACGAAAAUGUUUCACCGUAGCUUGCUACACCGAGACAUUUUAGUGGCGGACGGGUGAGUAACACGUGAGGAACCUGCCUAUCAGAGAGGGAUACCGUUUGGAAACGAACGUUAAUACCUCAUAACGUAACGAGAUCGCAUGAUAAUGUUACCAGAGAUUUAUCGCUGAUAGAUGGCCUCGCGUCUGAUUAGAUAGUUGGUGAGGUAACGGCUCACCAAGUCGACGAUCAGUAGCCGGACUGAGAGGUUGAACGGCCACAUUGGGACUGAGACACGGCCCAGACUCCUACGGGAGGCAGCAGUGGGGAAUAUUGCGCAAUGGAGGAAACUCUGAUGCAGCGAUGCCGCGUGAGGGAAGAAGGUUUUCGGAUUGUAAACCUCUGUCCUUGGUGACGAAGGAAGUGACGGUAGCCAAGGAGGAAGCCCCGGCUAACCUACGUG
rnacentral:rRNA from 1 species